rnacentral:lncRNA from 1 species
UGAUCAUCGUUCAGGAUGGGGAUCCCACGAAGACGAUCCGGGUGCCGGAGGGGUUCGACUACGAGCUCUAUAACAGGAACGACAUCAACCGCAUCCUCGGCCCCAAGGCCUCCUGCAUCUCCUUCAAGGACUCCGCCUGCCGUUGCUUCGGCUUCAUGGUCUCGAAGAAGAAGUACAUCUUCACCAUCGACGACGACUGUUUCGUAAGAUUCCCCUUCCCCCGCCCCUUUCUAGUCUCUUCUUCCCUCUCAUCUCUCCGCUCCCCCUCCGAUCCGACCGUCUCUCCGCCUCCGCUUUCGAAUUCUCUGGAGAAUUGGGGAUCUAGGGGAGUUUGUCGACAAAUCAUGCCCCAUUCAUCACUGGUCCUGUCCAUCUUCAAUGCUGGCGGCCUGGAUCUGGUGGCGCGAAGUCCAUAAUCCAUAUUGCGGCCCUAAAUUUGAUCCGAUCUUGCUCUGUUGACCUCGGCUACGCUCUCUCUCAUCCGGAUUUCCGUCGGCGGCGCUUCAAUGGCAGGUGGCUAAGAACCCUAGCGGCGAAGACAUCAACGCCCUGGCACAGCACAUCGAAAACCUGCUGACGCCGUCGACGCCCUUCUUCUUCAACACGCUUUACGACCCCUACCGCAAGGGCGCCGACUUCGUCCGCGGGUACCCGUUCAGCAUGAGGGAGGGCGCGCCGACGGCCAUCUCACACGGCCUCUGGCUGAACAUCCCGGACUACGACGCGCCCACUCAGC